GUAUAAGCAAUGAGCAAGAGAGUAAGCCAUUCGAUUUGUGCAGAGAGAAAACGACCGCUGAAACGUUUUUCAAACCGGAUUACUGAAGGUAACUUGUGAGCUGUCGGACUGAACGAACAGUAGGUCUGGCCGGAACAACAUCCGUUAGAUUGUUAUUAAGAGGGGUUAAAAACCCAAUUUAGGUGGUACCGCGAAAAGCAUUUCGUCCUAUGU
rnacentral:ncRNA from 1 species